GACGAACGCUGGCGGCGUGCUUAACACAUGCAAGUCGAACGGAAAGGCCCUGCUUUUGUGGGGUGCUCGAGUGGCGAACGGGUGAGUAACACGUGAGUAACCUGCCCUUGACUUUGGGAUAACUUCAGGAAACUGGGGCUAAUACCGGAUAGGAGCUCCUGCUGCAUGGUGGGCGCUGGAAAGUUUCGGUGGUUGGGGAUGGACUCGCGGCUUAUCAGCUUGCUGGUGGGGUAGUGGCUUACCAAGGCUUUGACGGGUAGCCGGCCUGAGAGGGUGACCGGCCACGGUGGGACUGAGAGACGGCCCAGACUCGUACGGGAGGCAGCGGGGGGGAAUAUUGCACAAUGGGCGGAAGCCGGAUGCAGCAACGCCGCGUGCGGGAUGACGGCCUUCGGGUUGUAAACCGCUUUAGCCUGUGACGAAGCGUGAGUGACGGUAAUGGGUAAAGAAGCACCGGCUAACUACGUG
rnacentral:rRNA from 1 species